AACGAACGCUGGCGGCAGGCCUAACACAUGCAAGUCGAACGAACCUUCGGGUGAGUGGCGCACGGGUGCGUAACACGUGGGAAUAUACCCUUGAGUACGGAACAACGUCUGGAAACGGACGCUAAUACCGUAUAAUGACUCCGGUCCAAAGAUUUAUCGCUCAAGGAUUAGCCCGCGUCUGAUUAGAUUGUUGGUGAGGUAACGGCUCACCAAGUCGACGAUCAGUAGCUGGUCUGAGAGGACGACCAGCCACACUGGAACUGAGACACGGUCCAG
rnacentral:rRNA from 1 species